AUGUAAACACAGCUGUCUUUGUCAAAUUGAAAGCAUUAAACUUAGCAAUUGGAUUAAAAUUACACUUAUAAUGGCAGAUCAACGGUUUCUGCUUGGCCAUCGUGUUAGAUUUGGAAGUAUUCAGCUUAUGGCAUUACAAACCAUUCCAGCAAGGGCAGGAGGGCCGUGAGAAAGCUGUUGGGACUCUCUCGGGGCAACACAGUGCGAGGAGAUGUAGACCAGCAGACCCUUCGUUACUCAGGGCAUUCAUCUUGUUCAUCCUGAAUAUGGAUUGUAGGACACACCUGCGUGACGUGAAACCCCCUGGAGCCAGCCACCUAUGGACCAGAGCAAGGGAUUCUUCAAGAUGAGUCAGAACAAGGCCUUCAUAUCAUAGAUCUUGCCAAGGUUUGAUGAGUAUGGUGACAGGCAAAUAGUGGCUGGUACUCACUUCCUUCCGUCUGCCAUUCUGGCUUUGAUGCCGAGGUACUUGGUCUGUGGCACCCAAGAGCUUCUGGCUGUGGUAAUGGAAAUGGCUCCGUUAUGAAGCAAGUGACUGACGGAUUUGUAGCGCAUCAAGUGCUGGCCACCUUCGUCUAGGUCGACUUCCUCGUCUCUGGAGAAAAAGAGAAUUACUAAGAAUACUAAAACAAUAAACAAAGAUGAUAUAGAAGUA